GAGUUUGAUCUUGGCUCAGAGUGAACGCUGGCGGCAGGCCUAACACAUGCAAGUCGAACGGCAGCGCAGCAGUAGCAAUACUGUGGGCGGCGAGUGGCGGACGGGUGAGGAAUACAUCGGAAUCUACCUUGUCGUGGGGGAUAACGUAGGGAAACUUACGCUAAUACCGCAUACGACCUACGGGUGAAAGCGGCGGACCGCAAGGCGUCGCGCGAUUGGAUGAGCCGAUGUCCGAUUAGCUAGUUGGCGGGUAAGAGCCCACCAAGGCGACGAUCGGUAGCUGGUCUGAGAGGAUGAUCAGCCACACUGGAACUGAGACACGGUCCAGACUCCUACGGGAGGCAGCAGUGGGGAAUAUUGGACAAUGGGCGCAAGCCUGAUCCAGCCAUGCCGCGUGUGUGAAGAA
rnacentral:rRNA from 1 species